GCAAAUCAAUACUUGUUGUUGUAACUACUUGAGCAAAGAGAGCGUUUGUAAAUCGAGAAAGAGAAGAGAAGAAGAACCGGCCAGAGAUGUCGGGGACGGUGGUGAGCAUGGCAAGGUCCAUGCUGAUGGGCGCCAUCAGCGUGGCCGCCUCUGCCGCUGCUGCCGAGAUGAGCCUCCUCAUUGGCGUCCGCAAAGACAUCUGGUUCAUCAAAGAUGAGCUAGAGACCAUGCAUGCAUUCCUUCUGUCUGUUGAAGCGACGAAGAACAAAAGUAUGGUAUUGCAGGUGUGGGCCAAGCAAGUAAGGGACCUUGCCUACGGUAUUGAGGAUUGCCUUGCUGAAUUCAUGGUGCAUGUGGGAAGCCAGAGCCGGUCUCAACGACUGCUUAAGCUAAAAGACCGCCAUCGCAUUGCCAGCCAAAUCCAUGCUCUCAAAGCAAGGGUUGAAGAAGUGAGCAACAGGAACACACGCUAUAACUUGAUCACCACAGAUGCCUCUAGCAGUAUUGACGAGGUGAAUUCCUACAUGGAAGACAUUCGCAGCCACUCAGCUAGCAACAUUGAUGAAGCAGAGCUUGUGGGCUUUGCUAAGCCUAAACAGGAGUUGAUUAAUAUGGUGGAUGUUCGCUCCAGAGAUGGUCUUCGGAAGGUGAUAUGUAUCGUUGGCAUGGGUGGUUUAGGCAAGACUACUCUUGCUAGGAAGGCAUAUGAAAGUAAAAAAGACACCAUUAAUAAUUUUUCUUGUUGUGCUUGGCUCACAGUCUCACAGUCGUUUUACAAAAUAGAGAUGCUCAAGGACAUGAUUAGGCAGCUAUUGGGUGGUGAUUCAUUGAAGAUUUGCUUGAAGGAACUUGAAGGGAAGGCGGUGCAAGUAGACAAUCUCGGUAGCUACCUGAGAGAAAAGCUAGUGGAUAAGAGGUACUUCAUUGUUCUUGAUGACUUGUGGACCAUAGAUGCUUGGAGGUGGAUCGAAGAUAUUGCUAUUCCUAGUAAAAACAAUAAAGGUAGUCGUAUAAUAGUAACAACACGAGAUCAUGGCUUGGCUAAGGAGUGCACCACUGAAUCGCUUCUCUAUCACCUCAAGUACUUGCAACCAGAUGAUGCUACAAAUUUGCUACUAAUAAAGAGUCGGAAAACACAUCAAGACAUGGAAAAUGAUAAGGAUAUGAAGAACAUGGCCAACAAAAUUGUGAAUAAGUGUGGUGGUCUACCGCUCGCUUUACUCACUAUAGGAGGCAUGCUUGCCACCAAAAAGGUAACAGAGUGGGAGAGUAUCUAUAAACAAAUCCCCUUAGAGCUCGAGGUCAACCCUAGCCUUGAAGCAAUGAGGAGGGUAGUUACUCUAAGCUACAACCACUUGCCAUCUCAUCUCAAGUCAUGCUUAUUGUAUCUAAGCAUCUUUCCUGAGGAUUUUGUAAUCAAAAGGAGACCUUUGGUGGAGAGAUGGAUAGCCGAGGGGUUUGUUAGAGCCAGGGUUGGGGUGAGCAUUGAGGAUGUGGGAAACAACUACUUUAAUGAGCUAGUCAACCGUAGCAUGAUUCAAUCUUUUAGGGUGAACAUUGAAGGAAACGUUAAGAGUUGUCGAAUCCAUGAUAUUGUGCGUGAUGUCAUGAUCUCAGUUUCUAGAGAGGAAAAUUUUGUGCAUGUGGCGGGAAAUAAUGUAACUGGUGCUGUGGAGGAGACCUUCCGACAUGUAGCAUACCAUGGUAGCAUGUGCCAGAAGACAGAUAUGGAUUGGAGCCACGUCCGGUCAGUAACUAUGUUUGGUGAGAGAUCAUUGGGUCCAUCACCUUCAGUUUGUUCACCUGACAUGAGAAUGCUCCGGGCCUUGGAUUUAGAGAAUGCACAGUUUCAAGUCACACAAAAGGAUAUCAGCAACAUAGGAUUGUUUCGCCACUUGAAGUAUCUGAAUUUUUCUUAUCCUCGAAGAUAUUCACAUAUUUAUAGACUUCCUAGAUCCAUAGGGAGAUUACAAGGUUUGCGCACUUUGAACAUUAGAGACAGUUGUAUUACAGAACUGCCAAUUGAGAUUUGUAAACUCAAGAAUCUACACAGUCUCCGUUGUACCAGAAAUAAUUCCUAUGAAUACUUUGACCUGAAUGACCCCACGGUAUGCUUGUUGAGCACAUUUUGUUGGCCCAUACUGUUUACACCUUUGGCAGAUCCUAAUGAGCGCGACAGGUUAGUUGCUGAGCUACACAUGGCCUGGUCUAGCCAUUGGUCCGAGUCAGAAGGUGUGAGGGUGCCAAAAGGAAUCGGCAAGCUGAAAGAGCUGCAGAUACUAGAGGCUGUGGACAUCAGCAAAACUAGUCGCAAAGCAAUUAAAGAGCUAGGUGAGCUUGUGCAGCUGAGAAAACUAACUGUGGUAACAAAAGGAGCGACCAAGCAAAAAUGCAAGGUACUCUGUGAUGCCAUUCAGAAGCUCACUUCCCUCGGCUCUCUUGAAGUGGACGGUUCACUCGAGUGGCUGCAUGUUGUUUCCUCUCCUCCUCCCCCGUUGAGGAGUCUGAAGUUGUAUGGAUGCCUUGAAGAGAUUCCUGGCUGGGUUGGCAGUCUGAUGCAUUUGGUCAAGCUUUGCUUAAAGGGCAGCGUAAUAAAGGAACAAGGCAAAACCACGGAAAUACUAGGGCCACUACCCAACCUCAUGCACCUUCGUCUUGAAAUCGGCUCUUAUAUUGGGGAGAAGUUAGUGUUCAAAACAGAAGCAUUCCGAAAUCUCAAGAAGCUUCAUAUUCGGGGUCUGCAGCAGCUGAGAGAGGUGAGAUUUGAGGAUGGCACCUCACCCCAGCUGGCAAUGAUAGAUAUCAGUUGGUGCAAUCUGGCAUCAGGAAUUAUUGGAGUCCACCAGCUUCCAAAGCUCAAGGAGAUCUCACUUGGUCCCUUUGGUCGAGUGGCGAAGCUUGCUAUGCUGCAAAGUGAAGUGGACGCACACCCCAACAUUCCCGUGCUGCGACUGCAGACGGACAGAAGAUACCACGACCUGGUAGGCACCGCCGUUGAACUGGGAGAAGCAACGGGUGAAUCGUCAUCUCCCCAUCCCGAGCCUGCAGAUGCAGGAGAGAGCUCACUGUCCUAGGCGGUGGCCAUGGCGUCGACAAACGUCAGCCAAGAUGAUCUGCUUUACACUUACAACUCGGGCUAAUCGGAGCAAGCCUCCUGCAGAGUUUCACAUCUCAAGUUGUCCAAAUAAGCUAGUGCUCUGUGUAGCGCAUUCGGAUUCAGCAGGGCUCCCAGGAGCACCACCAACCUGCAGUAAUUAUUCAUCCCACUGUCGACCAGGAGGUGGACGCGCACCCCAACAGUCCAGUGUUGCGGCUAGCUAACGUCCGGAGCCGCCAUGACUAGGGCUGGGACCUGGGAGACAUCGUAGAAGAAUCCAAUACUGUACGAGUGGAACAAUCAACAGGGCCUGCAGAAGCAGGGGAGAGCUCCUCACAGGUGGUCAUCCUCAGGCCGAUGAAGAGCAUAAACAGCCAAGAUGAUGUGUUGUACACUUACAAUUCAUGCUGAUGCUAGCUGGUCGUUUCCAACUGGCUCCGAUUUUCACCUCUACCUGGUGCUGGCCUCGGAGCCUCCGCCAUGCUGCCAGUAUAGCUAGCUCAGUUCUCCCUCUGCAUUUUUUAAUUCCAUCUGAUUUUCAGCAAUUUUUGUUACUCUAUCUUCUUUGAAGUGUUUUUGUUUGCCACAAUGUCUGUCGUAGCAGAAUUCGUAUAUUUGGUAGCUUGGUAGAGUUAGCAUUCCAUUUUACUGUUAAAUUCAUCCAGUUGCACGACAGAUAGAAUAUCUUAAAACUCAUUUUGCAUGGUAAACAUUAGACAUUUUCAGCUUGAGCUUUGCAUAAUUAAUAUUCUGAAACAAGAAAAUGUAUUCCAAGAAUCUUGGGACGGGGUCCAGGAUUUUUUCUGUUCAAGCUGGAGCAACAAUGAGACUGUAGAAUGGCACCUAUGAAGUUGAAGUGAGUGAACAGCCCAACCAUUUCCUGUUGUGGAUGGAGCAAGACUCGAGUACUGACCAUGAUGUUGGGAUCUGAAGUGGAGCUGGAAGCAGAGGGAUCCCCUUUGAGUUCCCAAUGCCUCAACAAUCACAAGUGUCAUGUCUGAAGGGAUCAUACUGAUAAAAUGAUUGAACUGUGCAGAAGUAGAGGAAUAUUCAAUAAAGUACAGAAGACGCACCUCUAAGCUGCAAUGACACCAGACUAGAGAAGAUGCACCACUAAUUAGAUUCGUCCAGUGCAAGAGAAACCAGAUGGUUUCUCCGUGUUAUAGAUGUACGGACUUUUUGGAUUCGUCACUGACCUUUCAAUGUUCCAACGAUCUUGGAACAAGCUACAACAUCAUUUCCACGGCUGCGACGCCACCAAUCCAGGGUUUACAUGUGACACUUGCUGGUUGGCCCUGGUUCCCAUUCCUAGAUGAUGUUAGUUCUUCCCCAUGGAACUGAUCGAGUUCAUGCCAAAUUCUAUUUUCUUGGAGCCUAAAAUCUUCCAGUUUGUAGAACAUGAGGUGGCUGCAUUUUGCACCAUUCACUGGGCCAUCGCAUGAUCUGCUUGUGCUAUGUACAAUUAUCAAUAUAUUGCUGCCAGUAUAUUCUGUAAUUCCUUGUAACUGAAGAACAGGAAGACAUGCUACUGUGCAAGCCAAUGGAACUUGUGCUGUUGUUCAGUAGCCGGAUAUGACUGUUCUGUUUUCCACAUGUAACAUUAUAUCAACAUACCAUCGGCUUUGUGGUUUUCGCUGGUUUCACUUUGCAAUUAAAUUGCAGUUUCCUCGUUUCUCUGUCAACGAUUUGAUAGAGUGGGACUAGAUUCGACAACAAGUUGGUUGAGAUUCAGUAUGGGAUGUUGCCAAGUCUGUUACUCAGGCUAUGCCAUUGAUUUUUGCGGGAGGACAUCUUCACGGACUGUUACGAUGGUGUUGUAACUUACUGUAUGACUGCAAGUGACUUGGGG
rnacentral:rRNA from 1 species